CUGUGAUUGCUUUGGCUCUGACCUCGAGGAAUGAAUGUUUUCUGACUUCUGCGUAAAGGCUAGAAGACAAAGAAGAGGUGAGAACAGAGGGAAUAAAGAGCAGAUCUUCCAAUCUCCCAGAAAGUAUGAGAAAGAAAAAGAAAGGUCAAAAGUUGAUCACAAAUACAAUGAAACAGAAACCAGAACGAUGUUGGAUUUCUUAAGAACAGAAAAUAUACAUGAAUAAUUUCAGGUGAGUGAUUGUAAACUCAUUUUAUGAAUUGAAUUUGCCUCUAUGACCCUACCUUAGGAAACCUCAAGGAACUUUUCUACUAAUGUAUCAUAAUGACUUGUCUUGUGCCUAACUCAGAUUAAUACUGUAACACUUGGUAAAUUGUGGUGUGAGGGUUCUGUAUCACUGCUUAGUAAAAGUCAAAGGAGAAUAAGAGAAUGGACUGUAUGUGCCUUGUCUCAGUGGGGUUUGCUGGCACCAAAAUAUUAUACCAUUGUGCAGGUCAGAUGACAUUUGGAUAACAAAUAAUUCUUUAUUUUAUUUUAUUUUAUUUUCCCACUGUACAGCAAGGGGAUCAAGUUAUCCUUACAUGUAUACAUUACAAUUACAUUUUUCCCCCACCCUUUGUUCUGUUGCAAUAUGAGUGUCUGGACAUAGUUCUCAAUGCUAUUCAGUAGGAUCUCCUUGUAAAUCUAUUCUAAGUUGUGUCUGAUAAGCCCAAGCUCCCGAUCCCUCCCACUCCUUCCCCCUCCCAUCAGGCAGCCACAAGUCUUUUCUCCAAGUCUAUGAUUUUCUUUUCUGAGGAGAUGUUCAUUUGUGCUGGAUAUUAGAUUCCAGUUAUAAGUGAUAUCAUAUGGUAUUUGUCUUUGUCUUUCUGGCUCAUUUCACUCAGGAUGAGAUUCUCUAGUUCCAUCCAUGUUGCUGCAAAUGGCAU
rnacentral:lncRNA from 1 species